AGUGAACGCUGGCGGUAGGCCUAACACAUGCAAGUCGAACGGCAGCACAGUAAGAGCUUGCUCUUACGGGUGGCGAGUGGCGGACGGGUGAGGAAUACAUCGUAAUCUACUUUUUCGUGGGGGAUAACGUAGGGAAACUUACGCUAAUACCGCAUACGCCCUACGGGUGAAAGCAGGGGAUCUUCGGACCUUGUGCGAUUGAAUGAGCCGAUGUCGGAUUAGCUAGUUGGCGGGGUAAAGGCCCACCAAGGCGGCGAUCCGUAGCUGGUCUGAGAGGCGGGUCGGCCACACGGGAACUGAGACACGGUCCAGACUCCUACGGGAGGCAGCAGUGGGGAAUAGUGGACAGUGGGCGCAAGCCUGAUCCGGCCAUACCGCGUGUGUUAAGAAGGCCUUCGGGUUGUAAAGCCCUUUUGUUGGGAAAGAAAAGCAGCAGGUUAAUACCCCGCUGUUCUGACGGUACCCAAAGAAGAAGCACCGGCUAACUUCGUG
rnacentral:rRNA from 1 species